GACGAACGCUGGCGGCGUGCCUAAUACAUGCAAGUAGAACGCUGAAGAGAGGAGCUUGCUCUUCUUGGAUGAGUUGCGAACGGGUGAGUAACGCGUAGGUAACCUGCCUUGUAGCGGGGGAUAACUAUUGGAAACGAUAGCUAAUACCGCAUAACAAUGGAUGACACAUGUCAUUUAUUUGAAAGGGGCAAUUGCUCCACUACAAGAUGGACCUGCGUUGUAUUAGCUAGUAGGUGAGGUAACGGCUCACCUAGGCGACGAUACAUAGCCGACCUGAGAGGGUGAUCGGCCACACUGGGACUGGGACACGGCCCAGACUCCUACGGGAGGCAGCAGUAGGGAAUCUUCGGCAAUGGGGGCAACCCUGACCGAGCAACGCCGCGUGAGUGAAGAAGGUUUUCGGGUCGUAAAGCUCUGUUGUAAGUCAAGAACGAGUGUGAGAGUGGAAAGUUCACACUGUGACGGUAGCUUACCAGAAAGGGACGGCUAACUACGUG
rnacentral:rRNA from 1 species